CAAAUCGUGACGCGAAAUUCUCAUUGGUCAGAUGCUAUAAUUUAUAUGUUUCCGCUGAGCUCUAUAUAUGUCAACUGCUGAAGCACUAUGCAUAAAAAACACAUUAACUGAUCAAAUUGGACUUGACCAUCUUAUCUCAAAGCACGAAAUGUUCUGUUUUGAGAAAACAGUAUUUAAAACAUUUCAACUUUUGCUUCAAUAUCUUGUAUUUCGAAAAACAGUAUAAACUGUACGUCUAAAUUUAGUUUGCACGGUCUAAAUUUAGUUUGCACGAAAGUUGUAAACAACACCAUAUAAGGAUAUACAUUCCAUAUUUGGAAAAACGAACGUUACGGGGCAGAUAUUCAAAUUCAUUAGUCAUCGAUGCAGGCUCUCAAUUCAGCUUGAAAGCCUGUUCGCAGGCUAACCCAGCCGUUAAGUGGGCGAGUAGCGAGAACACAACCACAGAUUAAGAGGACCAGAUGUCUGACUUCAUUGCAAAAAGCGUAAGGGCUUCGUCACUGCGCAUGCCAUACUGCGC